CCGCUCAGAUUGAACGCUGGCGGCAGGCUUAACACAUGCAAGUCGAGCGGGGGAAGGUAGCUUGCUACCGGACCUAGCGGCGGACGGGUGAGUAAUGCUUAGGAAUCUGCCUAUUAGUGGGGGACAACAUCUCGAAAGGGAUGCUAAUACCGCAUACGUCCUACGGGAGAAAGCAGGGGAUCUUCGGACCUUGCGCUAAUAGAUGAGCCUAAGUCGGAUUAGCUAGUUGGUGGGGUAAAGGCCUACCAAGGCGACGAUCUGUAGCGGGUCUGAGAGGAUGAUCCGCCACACUGGGACUGAGACACGGCCCAGACUCCUACGGGAGGCAGCAGUGGGGAAUAUUGGACAAUGGGGGGAACCCUGAUCCAGCCAUGCCGCGUGUGUGAAGAAGGCCUUAUGGUUGUAAAGCACUUUAAGCGAGGAGGAGGCUACUCUAGUUAAUACCUAGGGAUAGUGGACGUUACUCGCAGAAUAAGCACCGGCUAACUCUGUGCCAGCAGCCGCGGUAAUACAGAGGGUGCGAGCGUUAAUCGGAUUUACUGGGCGUAAAGCGUGCGUAGGCGGCUUAUUAAGUCGGAUGUGAAAUCCCCGAGCUUAACUUGGGAAUUGCAUUCGAUACUGGUGAGCUAGAGUAUGGGAGAGGAUGGUAGAAUUCCAGGUGUAGCGGUGAAAUGCGUAGAGAUCUGGAGGAAUACCGAUGGCGAAGGCAGCCAUCUGGCCUAAUACUGACGCUG
rnacentral:rRNA from 1 species